rnacentral:lncRNA from 7 species
AUGAUUAUAAUCACAAAUAACUCCACGGGUGGGUGGGUGCGAUCGCCUGCCCACUUGCUGCAGACUGCAGUGCAGUGCAGGUUAUCAUCCCGCUUGACAGCGCGAUUCAGGCUUUCCUUCUGGCUUACUAAUCAAAACCACAUGAACGAAAUCAGUUUAGUAAACCAAACCGCCCGGGCACAUCACAUCUCACAUGCGAUCUCGUCGUAAGCCUAGUCGCGUCCCAGGAACCUGCGAGGAAGCUGCCCGGCGCCGCGUGUGCCACUGCCAGCGGUCUCGGGGCGUGCGCGGCGCGGCGGCGGUGAGGUGUCCCGGAUCCUGGCUGGCCCGCUGGCCGGAAGUGCGCAACCCCAACCCAACCUGGGUGGUAGAAGACCGGGUACCGGCGCCUGUCGGUGGGGUGGGGAGCCGUUCAAUGCUCCACCAGCCUGGCCGCGCCUCGGGUGCCGCGCAUGCACGUCUGGUCUCUGACCGCACUCAUCUUCCUCCUCUCCCUGGCCCGC